rnacentral:lncRNA from 1 species
AGCGCGCCGAGUUACGCGCCUAGUUGGGACUCCUGCGAGGCGCGCUGCGCCUGGUCGCUCCCGUGCGCGCGCGCUGGGCGUCACGCGCUUCCAGGCGAAGGUCUCGUACAGCGGUGUUUGCGGCAGCUCCGGGAAAAACGUACGUAGAGCUACCUUCGUCGUCGGGAUGACGUGACUCGGGCGCCAGCCAUACACAACCAGCUUAACUACAGGAGAGAAGCUUUUUCCCACGAACUCGUCCACCUCCAAUAGUCUUCUGGGCAAGUCUGUACUAAACGUGCGCAGACGCGGAUCCAGCUCGACUGCAGGUCCACUACGUGGGAUCUUUGAAGUUGUGAAAGCUGCUUCCCCUUUGGGAAUGAUGCGGUUUCCCAAUCGGAAUCGACGUAUACGUGGCGUCGGUGGCGGCGAGCUAGCUCACGAAGCGCGCAACUCGCGAAGCGCUCGCGGGCGGCGGACUUUUAAGUGGACAGAGACAACACAUACACUGCCAUUGAUGGCAGUGUCUUCCUAGCGUUCUUCCAACAACAUUCUGUAAAAUGCUGCGAUGUGCGAUAACUUCUGACGGAAAUAAACUGUAAUAAAAGCUAAAGAACUAAAAAAUAAUAAAUAAGAUAUUAGAAGAAUUUGGAAAGCGAAAUAA